rnacentral:rRNA from 1 species
UACGUAGGGGGCGAGCGUUGUCCGGAUUUAUUGGGCGUAAAGAGCGUGUAGGCGGUUCGGUAAGUCUGUCGUGAAAUCCUGAGGCUCAACCUCGGACGUGCGAUGGAUACUGCCGGGCUAGAGGAUGGUAGAGGCGAGUGGAAUUCCCGGUGUAGCGGUGAAAUGCGCAGAUAUCGGGAGGAACACCCGUGGCGAAGGCGGCUCUCUGGGACGGUACUGACGCUGAGACGCGAAAGCGUGGGGAGCGAACAGG